GGCUUAAUGAUUUUAAUUUUAAGUCAAUCUGCCCAAUGAUUUUAAAUUAAAUGGCUGCAGUAUAAUUGACUGUACAAAGGUAGCAUAAUCAAUUGUUUUUUAAUUAAAAACUGGAAUGAAAGAAUUAAUGAGAUAUAUACUGUCUCAUAUAUAUUUAAUUAACUUAAAUUUUUAGUAAAAAUGCUAAAAUAAAUUUAUGGGACGAUAAGACCCUAUAGAAUUUUAUAUUAAUAUAUAAAUUAAGUUAUUUUAAGUAUUAAUAUUUAAUUGGGAGGAUUAAUAAAUUUAUAAAACUUUAUUUUAAAUAAAAACUUUGAUUAAAGAGUUUAUUAUGAUUAUGUAUUAUGAAUUAUAAGAAUAAAUUACCUUAGGGAUAACAGCGUAAUAUCUUUUUAAAGAUCAAAUUAAUAAAGAUGAUUGCGACCUCGAUGUUGAAUUAAGAUAAAUUUUAAAUGCAGAAGUUUAAUAAUUAAGUCUGUUCGACUUUUAAAAUCUUACAUGAUUUGAGUUCAAAUCGACGUGAGU
rnacentral:rRNA from 1 species